GCUCCUGGAUUCAGCGGCGGACGGGUGAGUAAUGCCUAGGAAUCUGCCUGGUAGUGGGGGACAACGUUUCGAAAGGAACGCUAAUACCGCAUACGUCCUACGGGAGAAAGCAGGGGACCUUCGGGCCUUGCGCUAUCAGAUGAGCCUAGGUCGGAUUAGCUAGUUGGUGAGGUAAUGGCUCACCAAGGCGACGAUCCGUAACUGGUCUGAGAGGAUGAUCAGUCACACUGGAACUGAGACACGGUCCAGACUCCUACGGGAGGCAGCAGUGGGGAAUAUUGGACAAUGGGCGAAAGCCUGAUCCAGCCAUGCCGCGUGUGUGAAGAAGGUCUUCGGAUUGUAAAGCACUUUAAGUUGGGAGGAAGGGUUGUAGAUUAAUACUCUGCAAUUUUGACGUUACCGACAGAAUAAGCACCGGCUAACUCUGUGCCAGCAGCCGCGGUAAUACAGAGGGUGCAAGCGUUAAUCGGAAUUACUGGGCGUAAAGCGCGCGUAGGUGGUUCGUUAAGUUGGAUGUGAAAUCCCCGGGCUCAACCUGGGAACUGCAUCCAAAACUGGCGAGCUAGAGUAUGGUAGAGGGUGGUGGAAUUUCCUGUGUAGCGGUGAAAUGCGUAGAUAUAGGAAGGAACACCAGUGGCGAAGGCGACCACCUGGACUGAUACUGACACUGAGGUGCGAAAGCGUGG
rnacentral:rRNA from 1 species